CCUACGGGAGGCAGCAGUGAGGAAUAUUGGUCAAUGGCCGGAAGGCUGAACCAGCCAUGCCGCGUGAAGGUCAGUGCCCUAUGGGCGUUAAACUUCUUUUGUGCGGGAGCAAUAAUGGUCACGUGUGGCCAGACGAGAGUACCGUACGAAUAAGCAUCGGCUAACUCCGUGCCAGCAGCCGCGGUAAUACGGGGGAGGCAAGCGUUCUCCGGAUGUAUUGGGUUUAAAGGGUGCGUAGGCUGGGAGGUAAGUCAGCGUGGAAAUGCCCCCGCUCAACGGGGUGAAGUGCCAUUGAUACUGCCUUGCUGGAAUGCGGAUGCGGUGAGAGGAAUGUGUGGUGUAGCGGUGAAAUGCAUAGAUAUCACACAGAACACCGAUUGCGAAGGCAUCUCACGAAUCCGCGAUUGACGCUGAUGCACGAAAGCGUGGGUAUCAAACAGGAUUAGAUACCCGAGUAGUC
rnacentral:rRNA from 1 species